AGGUGUGAUCAUACCAGCACUAAUACACCAGAUCCCAUUAGAAUUUCGCAGUUAAGCGUACUUGGGCGAGAGUAGUACUAGGAUGGGUGACCUUCUAGGAAGUCCUCGUAUUGCACAUC